UACGGAGGGUGCAAGCGUUAAUCGGAAUUACUGGGCGUAAAGCGCACGCAGGUGGCUGAGUCAGUCGAUUGUGAAAGCCCUGGGCUUAACCUGGGAAUUGCAGUCGAUACUACUCAGCUAGAGUAUGGGAGAGGGUAGUGGAAUUCCUAGUGUAGCGGUGAAAUGCGUAGAGAUUAGGAAGAACACCAGUGGCGAAGGCGGCUACCUGGACCGAUAUUGACGCUGAGACGCAAAAGCGUGGGGAGCAAACAGG
rnacentral:rRNA from 1 species